rnacentral:piRNA from 1 species
CUCCUGUUCCUCAGAUUAGGAUAAUGUCCAU